rnacentral:rRNA from 1 species
GACGAACGCUGGCGGCGUGCUUAACACAUGCAAGUCGAACGGAAAGGCCCUGCUUUUGUGGGGUGCUCGAGUGGCGAACGGGUGAGUAACACGUGAGUAACCUGCCCUUGACUUUGGGAUAACUUCAGGAAACUGGGGCUAAUACCGGAUAGGAGCUCCUGCUGCAUGGUGGGGGUUGGAAAGUUUCGGCGGUUGGGGAUGGACUCGCGGCUUAUCAGCUUGUUGGUGGGGUAGUGGCUUACCAAGGCUUUGACGGGUAGCCGGCCUGAGAGGGUGACCGGCCACAUUGGGACUGAGAGACGGCGCAGAGUCAUACGGGAGGCAGCAGUGGGGAAUAUUGCACAAUGGGCGGAAGCCUGAUGCAGCAACGCCGCGUGCGGGAUGACGGCCUUCGGGUUGUAAACCGCUGUCGCCUGUGACGAAGCGUGAGUGACGGUAAUGGGUAAAGAAGCACCGGCUAACUACGUG